GACUUUGUGGUGUAGUGGUUUGAGCAUUGGACUAUGACUCUGGAGACCAGGGUUCAAAUCCUGGCUCAGCCA